rnacentral:rRNA from 1 species
GGCCUACCAUGGUGGUAACGGGUAACGGGGUGUUAGGGCACGACACCGGAGAGGGAGCCUGAGAAACGGCUACCACAUCCAAGGAUGGCAGCAGGCGCGCAAAUUACCCAAUCCCGACACGGGGAGGUAGUGACAAUAAAUAACAAUACGGGGUUCUUUCGGAUUUCGUAAUUGGAAUGAGUACAAUUUAAAUCUCUUAACGAGGAACAAUUGGAGGGCAAGUCUGGUGCCAGCAGCCGCGGUAAUUCCAGCUCCAAUAGCGUAUAUUAAAGUUGCUGCAGUUAAAAAGCUCGUAGUUGAAUUUCGGGACCAUCAUGUUGGUCGUGCCUCGGUACGUACUGGCAUUGUUGGUUUCUCCCUUCUGACGAACCAUGAUGUCAUUUAUUUGGUGUUGUGGGGAAUCAGGACUGUUACUUUGAAAAAAUUAGAGUGUUUAAAGCAGGCUCACGCUUGAAUACAUUAGCAUGGAAUAAUGAAAUAGGACGUUUGAUUCUAUUUUGUUGGUUUCUAGGAUCGACGUAAUGAUUAAUAGGGAUAGUUGGGGGCAUUAGUAUUCAAUUGUCAGAGGUGAAAUUCUUGGAUUUAUUGAAGACUAACUACUGCGAAAGCAUUUGCCAAGGAUGUUUUCAUUAAUCAAGAACGAAAGUUAGGGGAUCGAAGACGAUCAGAUACCGUCGUAGUCUUAACCAUAAACUAUGCCGACUAGGGAUCGGAUGAUGUUAAUUUUUUAAUGACUCAUUCGGCGCCUUACG